rnacentral:rRNA from 1 species
GACGAACGCUGGCGGCGUGCUUAACACAUGCAAGUCGAACGAAGAGCGACGGAAGCUUGCUUCUAUCAAUCUUAGUGGCGAACGGGUGAGUAACGCGUAAUCAACCUGCCCUUCAGAGGGGGACAACAGUUGGAAACGACUGCUAAUACCGCAUACGAUCUAAUCUCGGCAUCGAGGAUGGAUGAAAGGUGGCCUCUACACGUAAGCUAUCACUGAAGGAGGGGAUUGCGUCUGAUUAGCUAGUUGGAGGGGUAACGGCCCACCAAGGCGAUGAUCAGUAGCCGGUCUGAGAGGAUGAACGGCCACAUUGGGACUGAGACACGGCCCAGACUCCUACGGGAGGCAGCAGUGGGGAAUCUUCCGCAAUGGACGAAAGUCUGACGGAGCAACGCCGCGUGAGUGAUGACGGCCUUCGGGUUGUAAAGCUCUGUUAAUCGGGACGAAAGGCCUUCUUGCGAAUAGGGAGAAGGAUUGACGGUACCGGAAUAGAAAGCCACGGCUAACUACGUG